rnacentral:tRNA from 1 species
GCGGGCGUGGCGGAACGGCAGACGCGCCAGGUUUAGGUCCUGGUGAGCUUCGCUCGUGGGGGUUCAAAUCCCCCCGCCCGCACCA